GACGAACGCUGGCGGCGUGCUUAACACAUGCAAGUCGAACGGAGUGGCGAACGGGUGAGUAACAUGUGGGUGAUCUGCCUUGCACUUCGGGAUAAGCUUGGGAAACUGGGUCUAAUACCGGUUUGUGCAAGAUGAGCUCGCGGCCUAUCAGCUUGUUGGUGGAGUAAUGGCCUACCAAGGCGUCGACGGGUAGCCGGCCUGUGAGGGUGUCCGGCCACAUUGGGACUGGGAUACGGCACAGACUCCUACGGGGGGCAGCAGUGGAGAAGAUUGCACGAUGGGCGGAAGCCUGAUGCAGCGACGCCGCGUGGGGGAUGAAGGGCUUCGGGUUGUAAACUCCUUUCGACAGGGACGCGGUACCUGUAUAAGAAGCGCCGGCUAACUACGUGCCAGCAGCCGCGGUAAUAC
rnacentral:rRNA from 1 species